ensembl:snoRNA U3 Small nucleolar RNA U3
AAUAUUAUAUUUUCAGGGAAUAUUUCUAUAGUUUUGUUCUUGGAAAUUGUGUUUCUAAGGUGAUUGGUCUCGCUAUCCACGAUGACGAGAUUUGAUACUCUUUCUGAGCGCGAAGCGGGCAGAGGUUGAAGAGUUAAUUCUUCUGAUCACUGCUUUUGAUGACCGUUCCAUGUCUUCUCUGGGGAUAUGGAGGAAGUAUGAUCAGAGGGGU